GAUGACAGCAGAGUGAGAAGCAGGGAAGUGGGUGCUGGCAGAAAGAGAAAGGCCAUCUUCUCUGCCUCUGAGCCUGGGUAACAUUCCAGCUCUGUACUCAUUGCACCCCUCUGAGUAUCCAUCUUUUUAUCCAUAAGAUGACAGUGUUGAUCUUCAAGGCCACAUCCACCUCUAACAUCGCUCAUUUCCUAGGGGAGGAAGCAAGAAGGAUUGGGGGCCGUGAAAGGCCACAGUGGUCUGGAGGACAAUAUAUCAACGAAAUCCUGUAAGGACAGGUCUCCCAUUCUAGAUGAGUCUGCAAUCAACAGCUCCUCCAAAACCAUGCCGGCACUUUCAGUGGCCGCAUCUGAUGGGCACUGGAUGGGACCUGUUGCUCUUGGUCCAGGUGAGACCAUAGCUGAUGGCCUUCCCGAAACAACCCAGGAAAAAGCUCCAAGAGGAAUAGUUAGAAUCACGAAGAGAUUGCGACUUGGCCUGAAGUGGAAGGGGCAUCUUCCCUUCUCCACCUCCUCUGGACCCACAUGACGCAUGAAGAGAAAAAUGGAUGGUCACUUGGACAGUGAACAGCACUCUGGAGUCCCCAUCUGGACUGUGGCAGGCGAGUUAGCUGCCGCACUUUUUGAACCUGAAUAUUCUGUGAGGAUGCCUACCACAGCAUGGCUUGCCAAGCGGUGCCAUGUCCGCACCCGGGAUCCAAACCGGCGAACCCCAGGCCACUGAGAAGCGGAACAUGUGAACUUGACUGCUGUGCCACCGGACUGGCCCAGAGCCUCUGCUUUUAAGGCCCGCUGGAUAAUACAGGAUAAUGUCCCCAUCAAGGUCCAUAAUCUUAAUCACAUCUAUGAUGUCUCUUUGCCAAGUUAGUAACGUAUUCACAGGGCCUGGGGGUUAGGACAUAGAUCUCUUUUGGGGGGAGGGCCUUUAUUCUGCCUAUUAUACUGAUUGUUAAAAAAUCUUCUCCACUUAGCUUCUAGAAUUCCGCUCUUUUCCUCUCUUUGCUCCUAUUAAACUGUCUUCAGCCUUCUUUACUGGAUCUUCCUCCUGAUCUCAACUUUUAAAGGCCAGAGGCAACUUAGCUCAGUCCUCAGACCUCUACACUCACUCUCUAGGAAUCUCCUUCAGGUCAUCGGCCCCACACAAAUCCUCAGCUUUUUGUCUCCAGUCUCAGUCUCUCUCCUGAGCUCCAGAUUCAAGACUAUCAAAAUAUCUGCUUGACAUCUCCUCUUUCCUGGCUAAUAGACACCUCCAACUUAACACGUCCAAAACGGAACUCCGAAUUUUACCCAAAUAUCCUCUCC
rnacentral:lncRNA from 1 species